rnacentral:rRNA from 1 species
GUGGGGAAUCUUAGACAAUGGGGGAAACCCUGACCCAGCGACGCCGCGUGAGGGAAGAAGGCCUUAGGGUCGUAAACCUCUGUUGUGUGGGAAGAAGGAAGUGACGGUACCACACGAGGAAGUCCCGGCUAACUACGUGCCAGCAGCCGCGGUAAUACGUAGGGGACGAGCGUUGUCCGGAAUUACUGGGCGUAAAGGGCGCGUAGGCGGUCAUUUAAGUCAGCUGUGAAAUGGUUUGGCUUAACCGGAUCAUGCGGUUGAAACUGGAUGACUGGAGUGCUGGAGAGGCAAGUGGAAUUCCCAGUGUAGCGGUGAAAUGCGUAGAUAUUGGGAAGAACACCGGUGGCGAAGGCGACUUGCUGGCCAGUAACUGACGCUGAGGCGCGAAAGCCAGGGGAGCAAACGGGAUUAGAUACCCCGGUAGUCC